rnacentral:rRNA from 1 species
UACGAAGGGGGCAAGCGUUGUUCGGAAUUACUGGGCGUAAAGGGCGCGUAGGCGGCCACCGCAAGUCGAUUGUGAAAUCUCCGGGCUUAACCCGGAAAGGUCAACCGAUACUGCGGGGCUAGAGUGCAGAAGGGGCAACUGGAAUUCUCGGUGUAGCGGUGAAAUGCGUAGAUAUCGAGAGGAACACCUGCGGCGAAGGCGGGUUGCUGGGCUGACACUGACGCUGAGGCGCGAAAGCUAGGGGAGCGAACGGG